GACGAACGCUGGCGGCGUGCUUAACACAUGCAAGUCGAACGGAAAGGCCCUGCUUUUGUGGGGUGCUCGAGUGGCGAACGGAUGAGUAACACGUGAGUAACCUGCCCUUGACUUUGGGAUAACUUCAGGAAACUGGGGCUAAUACCGGAUAGGAGCUCCUGCUGCAUGGUGGGGGUUGGAAAGUUUCGGCGGUUGGGGAUGGACUCGCGGCUUAUCAGCUUGUUGGUGGGGUAGUGGCUUACCAAGGCUUUGACGGGUAGCCGGCCUGAGAUGGUGACCGGCCACAUUGGGACUGAGAUACGGCCCAGACUCCUACGGGAGGCAGCAGUGGGGAAUAUUGCACAAUGGGCGGAAGCCUGAUGCAGCAACGCCGCGUGCGGGAUGACGGCCUUCGGGUUGUAAACCGCUUUCGCCUGUGACGAAGCGUGAGUGACGGUAAUGGGUAAAGAAGCACCGGCUAACUACGUG
rnacentral:rRNA from 1 species